rnacentral:rRNA from 1 species
UACGAAGGGGGCUAGCGUUGUUCGGAAUCACUGGGCGUAAAGCGCACGUAGGUGGACUUUCAAGUCAGGGGUGAAAUCCCGGGGCUCAACCUCGGAACUGCCUUUGAUACUGUUGGUCUUGAGUCCGGAAGAGGUGAGUGGAAUUCCUGGUGUAGCGGUGAAAUGCGCAGAUAUCAGGAGGAACACCAAUGGCGAAGGCAGCUCGCUGGGACGGUACUGACGCUGAGACGCGAAAGCGUGGGGAGCAAACAGG